CUGCACAUCAGAAGCGCAAUCACACCUUUAGGUAUGAUCUUCCCACUGUGGAAACUGUUUCAAUGAUGGNAAGGAAGCAUAAUAAAUGUGAUAAUAAUUUUUUAAUUUCUGUUGUUUCAAGGGCAAGAUGGAGGUGGCCAUGAAAGUCCUNGAAGAGGAGGUGAAAGAGAUUCUGUCAGACAAUGAAAUACCCUUGUUCAUUCCUUCAAGAGCAUUUUCUGUUCGUAAUGGAGCUUCCACACAGGUGAGAGCCAUGAAAAGGAAAAUCAACGGGCAUUUCUGCACAGCUGGUAUACCAGACCAGCAAGCAUACUAGGACCCUCCCUUCUGCAUGCCAGUGCUGUCUAAGGGAGGCCGUGCCCCCAGGGGGUGGUCAC
rnacentral:lncRNA from 1 species